GCUCAGUGAUGUGGUCCCAGCGUAUCCUUCCGACCCUCUGUGGACUCAACAGUGGGAAGAUGCGGAGGACUGUGGCCUGC
rfam:Fukomys damarensis contig97961, whole genome shotgun sequence.